ACGAACGCUGGCGGCGUGCUUCACCCAUGCAAGUCGCACGGAAAGGCCCUGCUUUUGUGGGGUGCUCGAGUGGCGAACGGGUGAGUAACACGUGAGUAACCUGCCCUUGACUUUGGGAUAACUUCAGGAAACUGGGGCUAAUACCGGAUAGGAGCUCCUGCUGCAUGGUGGGGGUUGGAAAGUUUCGGCGGUUGGGGAUGGACUCGCGGCUUAUCAGCUUGUUGGUGGGGUAGUGGCUUACCAAGGCUUUGACGGGUAGCCGGCCUGAGAGGGUGACCGGCCACAUUGGGACUGAGAUACGGCCCAGACUCCUACGGGAGGCAGCAGUGGGGAAUAUUGCACAAUGGGCGGAAGCCUGAUGCAGCAACGCCGCGUGCGGGAUGACGGCCUUCGGGUUGUAAACCGCUUUCACCUGUGACGAAGCGUGAGUGACGGUAAUGGGUAAAGAAGCACCGGCUAACUACGUG
rnacentral:rRNA from 1 species